GACGAACGCUGGCGGCGUGCUUAACACAUGCAAGUCGAGCGGUAAGGCCCUUUCGGGGGUACACGAGCGGCGAACGGGUGAGUAACACGUGGGUGACCUGCCCUCAGCCCUGGGAUAAGCCUGGGAAACCGGGUCUAAUACUGGAUAUGACUCCAUGACGCAUGUUGUGGGGUGGAAAGCCUUGUGCGGCUGAGGAUGGGCCCGCGGCCUAUCAGCUUGUUGGUGGGGUGAUGGCCUACCAAGGCGACGACGGGUAGCCGGCCUGAGAGGGCGACCGGCCACACUGGGACUGAGACACGGCCCAGACUCCUACGGGAGGCAGCAGUGGGGAAUCUUGCGCAAUGGGCGAAAGCCUGACGCAGCGACGCCGCGUGAGGGAUGAC
rnacentral:rRNA from 1 species